ensembl:miRNA rno-mir-343 rno-mir-343
GCACCUUCAUGGACCUGGAGUAGAGUGGGUGUGGCGGGGGGAGCAGGGCCCAGGGCAACCUCUCCCUCCGUGUGCCCAGAUCCUGCAUGCCAA